rnacentral:rRNA from 1 species
GGACGAACGCUGGCGGCGUGCUUAACACAUGCAAGUCGAACGGAAAGGCCCUGCUUUUGUGGGGUGCUCGAGUGGCGAACGGGUGAGUAACACGUGAGUAACCUGCCCUUGACUUUGGGAUAACUUCAGGAAACUGGGGCUAUACCGGAUAGGAGCUCCUGCUGCAUGGUGGGGGUUGGAAAGUUUCGGCGGUUGGGGAUGGACUCGCGGCUUAUCAGCUUGUUGGUGGGGUAGUGGCUUACCAAGGCUUUGACGGGUAGCCGGCCUGAGAGGGUGACCGGCCACAUUGGGACUGAGAUACGGCCCAGACUCCUACGGGAGGCAGCAGUGGGGAAUAUUGCACAAUGGGCGGAAGCCUGAUGCAGCAACGCCGCGUGCGGGAUGACGGCCUUCGGGUUGUAAACCGCUUUCGCCUGUGACGAAGCGUGAGUGACGGUAAUGGGUAAAGAAGCACCGGCUAACUACGUG